rnacentral:rRNA from 1 species
UACGUAGGGUGCGAGCGUUGUCCGGAAUUAUUGGGCGUAAAGAGCUCGUAGGCGGUGUGUCACGUCGGCCGUGAAAACCUGGGGCUUAACUCUGGGCGUGCGGUCGAUACGGGCAUCACUAGAGUUCGGCAGGGGAGACUGGAAUUCCUGGUGUAGCGGUGAAAUGCGCGAUAUCAGGAGGAACACCGGAGGCCAAGGCG